UACGUAGGGGGCUAGCGUUGUCCGGAUUUAUUGGGCGUAAAGAGCGUGUAGGCGGCCAUGUAGGUCCGGUGUGAAAACUCGAGGCUUAACCUCGAGAUGUCAUCGGAAACCAUUUGGCUAGAGUCCGGAAGAGGAGAGUGGAAUUCCUGGUGUAGCGGUGAAAUGCGCAGAUAUACAGGAAGAACACCAAUGGCGAAGGCAGCUCUCUGGGACGGUACUGGACGCUGAGACGCGAAAGCGUGGGGAGCGAACAGG
rnacentral:rRNA from 1 species